rnacentral:rRNA from 1 species
ACGGGAGGCAGCAGUGAGGAAUAUUGGUCAAUGGACGGAAGUCUGAACCAGCCAUGCCGCGUGAAGGACGACGGCCCUAUGGGUUGUAAACUUCUUUUGCCCUGGAGCAAUAAGGGGCCUGCGGGCCCUGAUGAGAGUACAGGGCGAAUAAGCAUCGGCUAACUCCGUGCCAGCAGCCGCGGUAAUACGGAGGAUGCAAGCGUUAUCCGGAUUUAUUGGGUUUAAAGGGUGCGUAGGCGGACCUUUAAGUCAGUGGUGAAAUAUGCCGGCUCAACCGGCAGGCUGCCAUUGAUACUGGAGGUCUGGAGUCCGAACGGCGCCGGCGGAAUAUGUCAUGUAGCGGUGAAAUGCUUAGAUAUGACAUAGAACACCGAUCGCGAAGGCAGCUGGCGAGGACGCGACUGACGCUGAGGCACGAAAGCGUGGGGAUCAAACAGGAUUAGAUACCCUGGUA